rnacentral:rRNA from 1 species
AUAGAUUCCCUCWKUAACGGCGAGCGAAGAGGGAUAAGCUCAAAUUUUAAAUCUGUUGGGUUUCACUUAACAGAGUUGUAUUUUGAAGAAACGUUUUCUGCGUCCAGGAUUAGCCUAAAUCCUUUGGGAUAAGGUAUCAUGGAGGGUGAGAAUCCCGUUCAUGGUUAAUCUUAAGGAAGCUCUACGAUACGUUUUCCAAGAGUCGAGUUGUUUGGGAUUGCAGCUCAAAAUGGGAGGUAAAUUUCUCCUAAGGCUAAAUAUUGGCGAGAGACCGAUAGCGAACAAGUACCGUGAGGGAAAGAUGAAAAGAACUUUGAAAAGAGAGUUAAACAGUACGUGAAAUUGUUGAAAGGGAAACGAUUGAAGUCAGUCAUACCAACGGGAAAUCAACCUUUUGAGCUCGGUCUCGUGGGUUUUGAAGAGUUUCAAAGCCUUCGGAUUCGCGGGAUUGGGAUCUCUCGGUGUACUUUUUCGUACGGUUAGUCAACAUCGGUUUUGAAUGUCAUAAAAUGACUGGAGGAAUGUAGCUUCGAUCUCGUAUUGAAGUGUUAUAGCCUUUGGUAGAUGUGAUGUUUGAGACCGAGGAUUGCAACGGAUACCCUUCAGGGCUAUUCGUCUGAUCUCUGAUACGUUGCCUUGAUGUUGAAAGCUUGCUUAUGAUGUUAGGGUAUUACGGUCAAAAGGUUAGAACGAAUUACAUUCGUUAAGGAWRUUGACGUAAU